rnacentral:lncRNA from 1 species
UUUUCAGUUUUGCUCUCUCAAAUUUCAAGGCAUAUCCGCUUCAUCUUGGAACUCAUCUCGAUACUGUCCUUCCGUGGAGUACUUGUCAUUAUACUCGUAUGAAUUCUCUUUGUUCCCAUAAUAAUUCUUGUUGUUGUACUCAUUCCUUGUACGAACUCCUUUCAAGCUCUCAUAUGGGUGGUCGCUGCUAUAUUUUCCACUGUUGACAUCAUAAAAGUAUUUCCCAUUCUCCAUUGAUCUUGUGUCACUCAAUCCUUGAGGUUCGAAGUUAGGUCUGCCGCCGUUGUUAUAAUAAUUCUCACGGUUGUUUAGAGUGGUGGAGUAACUUCCGCCACCGUUGAACCUGGUGCCUUUCGGCUCUGGC